GGCUAUGGAUAUUAAUGCUAAUGUAUCCACAAUCUCAAAGAUGAACAAGUUAAUAAAUUCAAACGAAAAACAACCACGUACAUGUCCACUGGAAAAAAACAAAAGUCGGGUGUGAAAAAACAAAACUAAACAGACCAAAAGUUAGUAAUUUCAAACAUUUCCAACGAGAAAAAAAAGCCUAACUUCAAACAUGUCAACGAGAAAAACAAAGCUUAACUUCAAACAUGUCCAACGAUUAUUUAUGAAUGCGCUCUUGGUAACUUAUGGCUUCUCUUGAUGGAUUUACAGCUUCUAUUAAGUCUCAUUAGCCAAGGCAGUGUUACAACCCCAACAGUUUGAAACUAUCUUAAGAGAAAGAAACCAACAUUAUUGUUACUUUAC
rnacentral:lncRNA from 1 species